GUUUCAUAAAGUGUCAAGAGCCACAUUAGCGCCUUCAGGUUUGGAUUGAGUAUAUAUACUUAAUUUUUAAUCCCCAAAUGGUUAGAAAUGUAUGUGACAAUAGUGACAUGUUUCUAUAAUUGACUCAGGGAACUUACAAGGCGUUUGGCAGACAUUUUGGAAAUGAUUCAUACCGAUACAUGAUGAUAUUCUGGAUGAAAGUGAGAUGAGAAGAGUUAACACGAUUUGGAGGCGGUGUUUGAAUUUGCACUUUGAUGGUUGGAGAGAGAUGGCAGUAUUGGGAGAUAAAAGAGACCACUUUAAUGGCAUGACGAAAGGAUUAGUAGGCGGUGUUUGAGAAGAUGACCAGAAGUGUUACAAUCAAAAGUUUUGGUUUUGACGUAUGUGGUUAGUAGAUGAAGUACCGGAAAAAUCACCGAAGCUUCUCCCGGAAGAAAUGCACCUCGGGUUGGCCAUUUUGGUCAUCUAGCAUGUAUCACCAACAAAAUCACCCAGUGGGAAAUGUUGAG